ACUCCUACGGGAGGCAGCAGUGGGGAAUAUUGCACAAUGGGGGGAAACCCUGAUGCAGCCAUGCCGCGUGUGUGAAGAAGGCCUUCGGGUUGUAAAGCACUUUCAGUAGGGAGGAAGGUAGUGUAGUUAACACCUGCACUAUUUGACGUUACCUACAGAAGAAGCACCGGCUAACUCCGUGCCAGCAGCCGCGGUAAUACGGAGGGUGCGAGCGUUAAUCGGAAUUACUGGGCGUAAAGCGCAUGCAGGCGGCCUGUUAAGUCAGAUGUGAAAGCCCGGGGCUUAACCUCGGAAUUGCAUUUGAAACUGGCAGGCUAGAGUCUUGUAGAGGGGGGUAGAAUUUCAGGUGUAGCGGUGAAAUGCGUAGAGAUCUGAAGGAAUACCAGUGGCGAAGGCGGCCCCCUGGACAAAGACUGACGCUCAGAUGCGAAAAGCGUGGGGAGCAAAACAGGAUUAGAUACCCUGGUAGGAUAGCG
rnacentral:rRNA from 1 species